rnacentral:rRNA from 1 species
GACGAACGCUGGCGGCGUGCUUAACACAUGCAAGUCGAACGGUGACGAGGAGCUUGCUCCUCCGAUCAGUGGCGAACGGGUGAGUAACACGUGAGCAACCUGCCCCUCACUCUGGGAUAACAGUUGGAAACAGCUGCUAAUACCGGAUACGACACAGACAGGCAUCUGUACUGUGUGGAAAGUUUUUCGGUGAGGGAUGGGCUCGCGGCCUAUCAGUUUGUUGGUGGGGUAAUGGCCUACCAAGACGACGACGGGUAGCCGGCCUGAGAGGGCGACCGGCCACACUGGGACUGAGACACGGCCCAGACUCCUACGGGAGGCAGCAGUGGGGAAUAUUGCACAAUGGGCGAAAGCCUGAUGCAGCGACGCCGCGUGAGGGAUGACGGCCUUCGGGUUGUAACCUCUUUCAGCAGGGAAGAAGCGAAAGUGACGGUACCUGCAGAAGAAGCACCGGCUAACUACGUGCCAGCAGCCGCGGUAACGGCUACGUAGACU